GAUGAACGCUGGCGGCGUGCCUAAUACAUGCAAGUCGAGCGAACGGACGAGAAGCUUGCUUCUCUGAUGUUAGCGGCGGACGGGUGAGUAACACGUGGAUAACCUACCUAUAAGACUGGGAUAACUUCGGGAAACCGGAGCUAAUACCGGAUGAUCUUUUGAACCGCAUGGUUCAAAAGUGAAAGACGGUCUUGCUGUCACUUCUCGAUGGAUACGCGCUGCAUUAGCUAGUUGGUAAGGUAACGGCUUACCAAGGCAACGAUGCAUAGCCGACCUGAGAGGGUGAUCGGCCACACUGGAGCUUAGACACGGUCCAGACUCCUACGGGAGGCAGCAGUAGGGAAUCUUCCGCAAUGGGCGAAAGCCUGACGGAGCAACGCCGCGUGAGUGAUGAAGGUCUUCGGAUCGUAAAACUCUGUUAUUAGGGAAGAACAUAUGUGUAAGUAACUGUGCACAUCUUGACGGUACCUAAUCAGAAAGCCACGGCUAACUACGUG
rnacentral:rRNA from 1 species